rnacentral:rRNA from 1 species
UAGGGAAUCUUCGGCAAUGGACGAAAGUCUGACCGAGCAACGCCGCGUGAGUGAAGAAGGUUUUCGGAUCGUAGAACUCUGUUGGUAGAGAAGAACGUUGGUGAGAGUGGAAAGCUCAUCAAGUGACGGUAACUACCCAGAAAGGGACGGCUAACUACGUGCCAC